AUUAUCAUCUACUUUGUUCAAGUUAUUCAUAUUUAAGGCUCAUUUGAUCGCUAUAAGACAUAUUUUGACUAUAAAAGCUGUUUCAUAUUUAAGGCCAAAACAAAUACAUUUCCUUAUCUAAUUUAUGUUCUCUUUAAUCUAGUGCGCCCAACAAGAGCAUGGGGUCGAGUGUGGCUAUUACGUGAUGAAAUUCAUGCAUGACCUAUUCAAAAGUUGCAAGGAAAUUGAAGAUCUGGAAAAGGUUUUCAAAACUCCAAGGGAGGGGCCCUUUACCAAAGAGGAGUUGGAUGAAGUUCGAGACAAGUGGGCUAUUUACUUCAACGAUUGUGAACUACCUCAGUGUAAUAAAUAGAGCAGGCUUGUAGUUAUUCGUGACUCUUACAUUAUUUUGUUAUUUAUCGAUUUAAUUAAUUACAUUUGAAUUAAUUCGGUAAUAUUAUUGGAAAUUUGAAAUUUAUAUCA